rnacentral:tRNA from 1 species
GGUAGAGCACGACCUUGCCAAGGUCGGGGUCGCGGGUUCGAAUCCCGUCUUUCGCU